AGUUGAUCACUGGCUCAGGAAGUAGAACUCGUAACAUGGUAGGCCAUAGGCGGACGGGUGAGGAAUACAUCGGAAUCUACUUUUUCGUGGGGGAUAACGUAGGGAAACUUACGCUAAUACCGCAUACGACCUACGGGUGAAAGCAGGGGACCUUCGGGCCUUGCGCGAUUGAAUGAGCCGAUGUCGGAUUAGCUAGUUGGCGGGGUAAAGGCCCACCAAGGCGACGAUCCGUAGCUGGUCUGAGAGGAUGAUCAGCCACACUGGAACUGAGACACGGUCCAGACUCCUACGGGAGGCAGCAGUGGGGAAUAUUGGACAAUGGGCGCAAGCCUGAUCCACCCAUACCGCGUGGGUGAAGAAGGCCUUCGGGUUGUAAAGCCCUUUUGUUGGGAAAGAAAUCCAGCUGGCUAAUACCCGGUUGGGAUGACGGUACCCAAAGAAUAAGCACCGGCUAACUUCGUGCCAGCAGCCGCGGUAAUACGAAGGGUGCAAGCGUUACUCGGAAUUACUGGGCGUAAAGCGUGCGUAGGUGGUCGUUUAAGUCCGUUGUGAAAGCCCUGGGCUCAACCUGGGAACUGCAGUGGAUACUGGGCGACUAGAGUGUGGUAGAGGGUAGCGGAAUUCCUGGUGUAGCAGUGAAAUGCGUAGAGAUCAGGAGGAACAUCCAUGGCGAAGGCAACUACCUGGACCAACACUGACACUGAGGCACGAAAGCGUGGGGAGCAAAACAAGGAUUAGAUACU
rnacentral:rRNA from 1 species